GCCCAGAUAGCUCAGUCGGUAGAGCGCGUCCUUGGUAAGGACGAGGUCACCGGUUCAAACCCGGUUCUGGGCUCCA
rnacentral:tRNA from 2 species